AUGUUUCUGCGGCGGAUCCUGAGCGGCGGGGGCGGGCUGGCGGCCCUGCGCUCUGCGCGGGCGGUGAAGGAGACGACGGGGAUCGUGGGUCUGGACGUGGUGCCCGAGGCGCGGAAUGUGCUCAUCGGGCUCUACACGCGCACCCUCAAGGAGAUCGAGGCCGUCCCCAAGGACGAGGGCUACCGCAAGGCCGUCGAGUCCUUCACCCGCCACCGCCUCCAGAUCUGCCAGGAGGAGGAGGACUGGAAGCGCAUCGAGGACCGCCUCGGCUGCGGCCAGGUCGAGGAGCUCAUCGAGGAGGCCGAGGACGAGCUCAAGCUCAUCGGCAAGAUGAUCGAGUGGGAUCCCUGGGGUGUUCCUGAUGACUACGAAUGCGAGGUGAUUGAAGAUGACACACCUAUUCCCAAGCAUGUUCCGCAGCACCGGCCCGUUGCACUACCUGAGGAGUUCUUCAAGACAUUAGAUGCCAUCAAAUCAGAUCCAGCUCUGCAGGGCGACUCUCCUCCGCAAGUGAAGUCAUGA
rnacentral:rRNA from 1 species